GACGAACGCUGGCGGCGUGCUUAACACAUGCAAGUCGAACGGAAAGGCCCGGCUUUUGUGGGGUGCUCGAGUGGCGAACGGGGGAGUAACACGUGAGUAACCUGCCCUUGACUUUGGGAUAACUUCAGGAAACUGGGGCUAAUACCGGAUAGGAGCUCCUGCUGCAUGGGGGGGGUUGGAAAGUUUCGGCGGUGGGGGAUGGACUCGCGGCUUAUCAGCUUGUUGGUGGGGUAGUGGAGUACCAAGGCUUUGACGGGUAGCCGGCCUGGGAGGGUGACCGGCCACCAUGGGCCUGCGGUACGGACCAGACUCCUACGGGCGGCAGUGGUCGGGAGUAUUGCACAAUGGGCGGACGCCUGAUGCAGAAGCCCCGCGUGCGGGAUGCCGGCCUUCGGGUUGUAAACCGCUUUCGCCUGUGACGAAGCGUGCGUGACGGUAAUGGGUAAAGAAGCACCGGCUAACUACGUG
rnacentral:rRNA from 1 species